rnacentral:rRNA from 1 species
UACGUAGGGGGCGAGCGUUGUCCGGAGUUACUGGGCGUAAAGCGCUUGUAGGCGGUCCACCAAGUUUGGGGUGACAGUUGCCGACUUAAUCGGCAAAGUGCCUCAAAGACUGGCGGACUUGAGGGCCACAGAGGGACAUGGAACUCCAGGUGUAGUGGUGAAAUGCGUAGAUAUCUGGAAGAACACCAAAGGCGAAGGCAGUGUCCUGGGUGGUCGCUGACGCUGAGAGGCGAAAGCCAGGGGAGCGAA